rnacentral:misc_RNA from 1 species
UUAAGCCCUCCAUCUAACUCCACGCGGCCCAAUCAGCUAUACAGCUCAACAAAUACGAGGCGCGGCUUAAUACGAAAAUCUACUCCACACUUCCACGCCAAGUAGCCAUCGAAAAGAGCAUCUCUGGAAAGGAAAGAAGUACAGGCGGUGAGGGAAGUACGCAUAGAAACCAAAGUCUUGCUGUUUUUCCCACGCACCCACCAACGUACUCAAGAAGCUUACUGAGUUACUCUGACUGAUUAAAACUGGACGAAGCUGAAGUUGGAAGAAUGACGGGCCAAUCUGCUGCGGUCGAGGGGAGCAACUCCGCACUCCCGUGGUACCGCAUGGGUUUCCACACGCUUGCCGAGUUCAACACAUAUGUUACAUUCGUGCUGCUCGGCAUGUCCAUCAUGAUGGUGACGAGCGCGGUCACAUCUGCACCUGACUUUGUCACCAAGUACUUCAUCUACGCGACCGGCGACCCAGAUGCGGUUGCGGAGACCCCGCUGUUCUGGAAUAACGCGAAUACCUUCUACAACGCCGGCACGUACGCUAUGCAGGUCGUCACUGAGAUCGCUUCACUGACUCCGUUCAUGCGCUCGAUUCCGCUUGGCAUUCGUCUUUUCCUGGGCCUUGGCAUCCCGUUUGUGGAGCUGGUGGUCAUCAUCGCCGUGCCGGCCGCGACCAUCCCAACGCAGAACGGCGCGAUCGCAGUGAUCAUGGUGGUCGCGAUGAUGGGUGGCCUCUCCAAGGCGCUAUGCGACUCGUGCACGAACGCCCUUGUCGGCCCCUUCCCGACCAAGUUUAUGAACGGCGCGCAGUGGGGUUUGACCGUGAUCGCACUCUUCAUGUCGAUCAUCCAGAUCAUCCUGCAGGUGUCUAUGGGGUCGACGUUCCAGGACGUGCUCACCAUCUCCCGCAUCUACUUCGGCAUUGGAAUCGGUAUUCAGGUGAUGGCUAUUGCGGCACUCGUCUUGCUGCGUUACAACCCGUUCGCGCAGAAGUACAUCGCUGAGUUCCGUGCUGCUGCGCUGCGCCGCCGUGGCCAUGUGGAGCCGGAGGAGUCGCAGGACAGCAAAGAGCCCGCGACGGGCGAUGUCGCGGAGGCGCCCAAGGCGGGAGAGAAGGAGGUCACCCUGGAUGAGAUGGAGGAGGCGGAUGAGGUGCGCGCGGUGCCCAGUGACGCGUUCGUUGCCAAGAGCGGCGCGGUGCUCCAGGCGACUGGUGAUGCGGAUCGGAUGGUGGACCUGGAUCAGACGAAGAACAUAACGUCGACGGAGCAGAUGCUUCGCGCCUCCGUGUGGUCUGUGUUCAAGCGCAUCUACCCGAUGCUCCUGUGCGCAUUCACCAUCUUUUUCACGACUCUGCUGGUCUUCCCUGGCGUGUUCUUCUUGGUGCCGGCGCGCAGCGGCUGGUACAUGACUAUAAUUGUGACGCUGUUCAAUGCGGGCGACUUCGUGGCGCGAGUUCUCCUGAUGAUCCGUGUGUUGCGCCCGUCGCCGAAGCUCGUGAUUGUUGGUACUUUUGGCCGUCUCGCUGUUAUUCCGCUGAUCGUGCUGUGCGUGCGCGGCUUCAUCCCCGGUGUCGCCCUGCCGUACGUCCUUAUCUUCCUGUUCGGGCUGACUAACGGCUACUUCGGUACGAUGUCGUGCAUCCACUGCCCGCGCACGCCGACGCUGCACUACGCCGGCGAGCGCUCUGUGGCCGCCAUGCUGGCGGGUAUCUCUCUGAUGUUGGGCCUUUGCUUCGGCUCCAACAUGUCUCUUGCCAUAACCCUGACCUACUAAAUACCACGUUCCCGCAGUGGAGCUUCUGCCCUACCUCUCUUUGUUUCGUCUACUCCCACCGAGUUGUAUGAGCACGGAGACUCCAGCGCCAUGGUAUCAAAGCCCCGUGCCCCUGCCCUCUGGGAAGAAGACAGGCAGCCCCCUAACCCCUGCAACUGCCGAACCAAUGCUGGUUUUCAAAGAAUCAAACGCCUAAGAUGUAGGGAGGUCAGGGCGAUGUAUUGCUACUGAUGUCUGCUGUCAGGUCCUCGAUGGCGUGGCGUCGGAGCGACCUGCUACAGUGUGAACAUGUCUGUACCAUCCAUAUGUUAGGCAGAGUGUCAGUGUGACUCAAACGUAUCUCACUCGGCUCUCUCUGCAUACUGGUGGGGGAGUCCGAGUCACCCCGAGAGAUGCACCACGUGUCCGCCUGCGAAGCGAGGGGUGGGUAGCGCUUGAGGCAGUGGCCGUGCUCCAGUGGCUGAUUUGGCGCCGCUGUAGCGCGUGUCUGUUUCGCACCACGCGAUGUGCCUGUGGCAGAUCGGGUGGGUCUUAGUUGAACUUAUGUAUGGCAAAGAAUGGUUCCGUAUACAAAAAAAGCUUCUCCCUUUUUUUUUUGUUUGCAUUCAUUUUUUUUUUCGUCCCCCUUCCCCUCCCUAACUUUUUUUCUUUCGUGUGUGCGUGCUGCUGGCGUUGAUCUAUUCGUGUUUAAUCUUCAGGCUUCUAGUGUGCUUUUCCGUCCUCUGCCGUGUGUUUGCAUGUAUUGUGUAGGAGGCGCGCCGCUGAUUAUGCGAAAAAACCUGUCGGUGUCUUCUUUUUUUUUUCGUGUAUUAGCCAGUGCUCAUCCUUGCUUCCGCACCUGCCUCUCUGAUCUCCCGCGCUUUUCCUCCUCUUGUUGAACGAUGGGGGAGAAGUGGCGGGGGAGUGGAUAAUUAGAAGUGCUCGGCUGCAAGCAUCUCUCCACAACCUCUGGCUGUGGUCGCGCUGUGUGUACCUACGCGCGAGGAGGAGAGUAGCAGUGGGCUGAAAGGAGUGACGCAACAGCCGUGUGCAGACGAGGCAGCUUCAGUACCCACGCGCAAAUCGGCACACACGGACAGAAGUUACCCGACGAGAGAGAGCACCCCCCCACUGGCAUGCUCCACUUUCUUUUUUUUUUUAGUUGACCUAAUCAUAUGAAAAACGGU